rnacentral:rRNA from 1 species
AGUGAACGCUGGCGGUAGGCCUAACACAUGCAAGUCGAACGGCAGCACAGUAAGAGCUUGCUCUUACGGGUGGCGAGUGGCGGACGGGUGAGGAAUACAUCGGAAUCUACUUUUUCGUGGGGGAUAACGUAGGGAAACUUACGCUAAUACCGCAUACGACCUACGGGUGAAAGCAGGGGAUCUUCGGACCUUGCGCGAUUGAAUGAGCCGAUGUCGGAUUAGCUAGUUGGCGGGGUAAAGGCCCACCAAGGCGACGAUCCGUAGCUGGUCUGAGAGGAUGAUCAGCCACACUGGAACUGAGACACGGUCCAGACUCCUACGGGAGGCAGCAGUGGGGAAUAUUGGACAAUGGGCGCAAGCCUGAUCCAGCCAUACCGCGUGGGUGAAGAAGGCCUUCGGGUUGUAAAGCCCUUUUGUUGGGAAAGAAAUCCAGCUGGUUAAUACCCGGUUGGGAUGACGGUACCCAAAGAAUAAGCACCGGCUAACUUCGUGCCAGCCGCCGCGGUAAGAC